GAUGAACGCUAGCGGCAGGCCUAACACAUGCAAGUCGAGGGGCAGCGGGGAGUAGCAAUACUUUGCCGGCGACCGGCGCACGGGUGCGUAACGCGUAUGUGACCUACCUAUAACAGGGGGAUAACCCAGAGAAAUUUGGACUAAUACCCCAUAUUAUUAUUGAGCUGCAUGGUUUGAUAAUGAAAGACGCGAGUUGGUUAUAGAUGGGCAUGCGUGACAUUAGCUAGUUGGUAAGGUAACGGCUUACCAAGGCGACGAUGUCUAGGGGAACUGAGAGGUUAAUCCCCCACACUGGUAUUGAGACACGGACCAGACUCCUACGGGAGGCAGCAGUGAGGAAUAUUGGUCAAAUGGUCGGAAGACUGAACCAGCCAUGCCGCGUGAAGGAAGAAUGUCCUAUGGAUUGUAAAACUUCUUUUGUAAGGGAGCAAAUAAGUUCCAUGCGUGGGAUGAUGAGAGUACCUUACGAAUAAGCAUCGGCU
rnacentral:rRNA from 1 species